rnacentral:rRNA from 1 species
GACGAACGCUGGCGGCGUGCUUAACACAUGCAAGUCGAACGGAAAGGCCUGCUUUCCCUUGUGUGUUGCGGGUACUCGAGUGGCGAACGGGUGAGUAACACGUGAUUGAUCUGCCCCCAACUUGGGUAUAAUCCUGGGAAACUGGGUCUAAUUCCCGAUAGUACUGCAUGGUGGUGCCGGUGGUGGAAAACGAUUUUCUGGUGGUUGGGGAGGAGCUCGCGGCCUAUCAGCUUGUUGGUGGGGUAAUGGCCUACCAAGGCGGCGACGGGUAGCCGGACGGAGAGGGUGGACGGCCACAUUGGGGCUGAGUUACGGCCCAGAGGACUACGGGAGGCAGCAGUGGUGAAUAUUGCACAAUGGGCGGAAGCCUGAUGCAGCGGGGCCGAGUGGGGGAUGACGGCCUUCGGGUUGUAAACUCCUUUCGAGCGCGAGGAAGCCACUUGGUUGGAAGGGUGGUGACGGUAGUGGUAGAAGAAGCACCGGCUAACUACGUG